rnacentral:lncRNA from 1 species
GCCAACAACAACGAUGCUCAGAGAAAUGACAACGAAGUCGUGAAUCAGCCAAGGCAACACAACCAAGGUCCGAGUAAACAAAAUGCCGCAAUACGCCAAAAGGAUGUCGGGGAAGUCAGCUGCACUAACUCCGUAAAAAGUAUUCGCCCUACUCGGAAGAACCACAAAGUGUCAAACUUCAGUGAUCUAUGAGAAAUACUCAACAGUCGGCGUGAGCGAGAAGUCGACAACUACAACCACUUUCCUGCUUUCACAAAUAGGGUAAUGAAGA